UUCAUAAAUCCAGUGGGGUAAUUGUUUACGGACAUUACCGUGUGAUAUUGUAUCAAAGAAGUCUGAUUCCUGUAACAAAUUGUUAUAAACACAUAAAAUUUAGUUUUGUUUUAGUAGCAAAAUGGUGAAAAUCCAAAACUAAA
rnacentral:ncRNA from 1 species